rnacentral:rRNA from 1 species
GGUUUAAUUCGAAGCAACGCGAAGAACCUUACCAGGUCUUGACAUCCCGAUGCUAUUUCUAGAGAUAGAAAGUUACUUCGGUACAUCGGUGACAGGUGGUGCAUGGUUGUCGUCAGCUCGUGUCGUGAGAUGUUUGGGUUAAGUCCCGCAACGAGCGCAACCCCUAUUGUUAGUUGCCAUCAUUCAGUUUGGGCACUCUAGCGAGACUGCCGGUAAUAAACCGGA